rnacentral:rRNA from 1 species
GUGCACCAGUCGCGAAAACUCCGCAAUACGCGAAAGCGUGACGGGGCCAUCCCGAGUGCCGUCCGCUGAGGAUGGCUUUUCCCUAGUGUAGAUAGCUGGGGGAAUAAGGAGGGGCAAGUCUUGUGUCAGCCGCUGCGGUAAUACCAGCUCUUCGAGUGGUAGGGAUGUUUAUUGGGCCUGAAGCAUCCGUAGCUGGCUGUGCAAGUCCUCCGUUAAAUUCAGCGAUUUAAUCGUUGGAUUGCGGGGGAUACUGUUCGGCUAGGGGAUGGGGGAAGCCAACGGUGUUCCCGGGGUAGGGGUGAAAUCCUAUAAUCCCGGGAAGACCACCAGUGGCGAAGGCUGUUGGCUAGAACGCGCCCGACGGUGAGGGAUGAAAGCUGGGGGAGCGAACCGGAUUAGAUACCCCGGUAGUCC